UACAGAGGUCUCAAGCGUUGUUCGGAUUCAUUGGGCGUAAAGGGUGCGUAGGCGGCGCGGUAAGUCGGGUGUGAAAUCUCGGAGCUUAACUCCGAAACUGCAUUCGAUACUGCCGUGCUUGAGGACUGGAGAGGAGAGUGGAAUUCCCGGUGUAGCAGUGAAAUGCGUAGAGAUCGGGAGGAACAUCAGUUGCGAAGGCGGCUCUCUGGACCAGCACUGACACUGAGGCACGAAAGCGUGGGGAGCAAACAGG
rnacentral:rRNA from 1 species